rnacentral:rRNA from 1 species
AACCUGCGGAGGGAUCAUUACUGAGUGAGGGCUCACGCCCGACCUCCAACCCUUUGUGAACACAUCUUGUUGCUUCGGGGGCGACCCUGCCGGCACUACGUCGCCGGGCGCCCCCGAAGGUCUCCAAACACUGCAUCUUUGCGUCGGAGUUUAAACAAAUUAAACAAAACUUUCAACAACGGAUCUCUUGGUUCUGGCAUCGAUGAAGAACGCAGCGAAAUGCGAUAAGUAAUGUGAAUUGCAGAAUUCAGUGAAUCAUCGAAUCUUUGAACGCACAUUGCGCCCUUUGGUAUUCCGAAGGGCAUGCCUGUUCGAGCGUCAUUUCACCACUCAAGCCUGGCUUGGUAUUGGGCGUCGCGGCUCCGCGCGCCUUAAAGUCUCCGGCUGAGCCAUUCGUCUCUAAGCGUUGUGGAUUUUCUAAUUCGCUUCGGAGUGCGGGUGGCCGCGGCCGUUAAAUCUUUACUCAAGGUUGACCUCGGAUCAGGUAGGGAUA